rnacentral:rRNA from 1 species
AUUGAACGCUGGCGGCAUGCCUUACACAUGCAAGUCGAACGGCAGCGGACCUUCGGGUGCCGGCGAGUGGCGAACGGGUGAGUAAUAUAUCGGAACGUACCUUUCAGUGGGGGAUAACGUAGCGAAAGUUACGCUAAUACCGCAUAUUCUGUGAGCAGGAAAGCAGGGGAUCGCAAGACCUUGCGCUGAUUGAGCGGCCGAUAUCAGAUUAGCUAGUUGGUGAGGUAAAGGCUCACCAAGGCGACGAUCUGUAGCGGGUCUGAGAGGAUGAUCCGCCACACUGGAACUGAGACACGGUCCAGACUCCUACGGGAGACAGCAGUGGGGAAUUUUGGACAAUGGGCGGCAAGA